UACAGAGGCCUCGAGCGUUAGGCGGAAUCACUGGGCUUAAAGCGUGUGUAGGCGGACUUCUAAGUACCUUGUGAAAUCCCACGGCUCACCCGUGGAACUGCUUGGUAUACUGGUUGUCUUGAGCCUUCUAGGGGCGAGUGGAAACAAAUGGUGGAGCGGUGAAAUGCGUAGAUAUCAUUUGGAACGCCAAUGGUGAAAACAACUCGCUGGGGAAGUGCUGACGCUGAGACACGAAAGCCAGGGGAGCGAACGGG
rnacentral:rRNA from 1 species